rnacentral:misc_RNA from 1 species
UUGUUUUUGUUACGAUAGUUUACAUUCAUUACACAUUGUUUUUGGUGUUUUUGCGCCCGGGGCCCGAGAGCCCCAAGACGUACAGUUCACGGUGUGUGUGGAAUAGACACGGCCAGAGGCCAAUCUCUAAUGAUCCUUCCGCAGGUUCACCUACGGAAA